rfam:Fungal sp. No.14919 DNA, contig: Contig0056.
GGUCGGGUGGCCUAAUGGUAAGGCGUUGCUUUCCGGUGGCAAAGAUUGCGGGUUCGAGUCCCGUCCUGAUCG